AGAAUUUUAAGUUAAAAAAACUGUAAGCCUUCAAAGCUUAAUAUGAAUAAUAUUGUUCAAGUUCUA
rnacentral:tRNA from 1 species